UCACAUAAACAAACAAACAGGAGACACCAAAAAACGUGGCAGCGGGACGGCGAUCCUAACACUUAUUUUCGUAAUCAUUUGAUAUUGUUAGGAGAGAGAGACCCCCCCCCCACCCAGAAAACAAAAACAAAUGUGGAAAGGACUGGAAAAAUCAUCACACCAAGGGUUGGAUGAAGGCAAAAAAAGAUGAAGACAAUCACCAGAAAGCACUUAAGAAUCGAUAUCCUCCUCAAGGAAAGUUGAAGAGGUAUCACUGAGCUUGUUUAAGGGCUUACCAAGGUCUUUGUGGCCUAGACACCCACUGGCGGCGCCGCUCAAGAGACGAACACCUUUUGAAGUCUUAGUGGCCUCCAGCACCUCGGACAGUGCCACCCAGGAGAUGAACACCUUUUGAGGUCUUAGUGGCCUCCAGCACCACAGGCGGUGCUGCUCAGGAGAGAACACCUUUUGAGUCGCAGUGGCCUCCAACACCGCGGGUGGGGCUGCUCAGGAGACGAACACCUUCCAUGGUCUUCGCGCCUCGAGCCCGUAGCGGUGCUGUUGGGAGAGAAGGCGUCUUUGGCCUCAAAGGACCUGGUGUAAGCCCCAUUUUUAAAAAUCUAAAUUAGCUUCAGUUUUUUUAUCAGCUUAAAUAUAUUUGUAACUUUUAUAUUCUAUAUAAUAAGAAAUAUAUAUUUUUGGGACAUUAAUAUGUUGUGCACUGAAAUUUUUUGUCAUGUGGAUGUGUUUAGUAUGAUCAUUAUAUAUCAUCAUCAAUAAAUUAAUAUUAUUAAAAAUUUGCCCAAGUACAAGUGCCCAUGUAAUUUAGAGUUGAACCUAUUUGAACAUGAAUAAAUUAUUUUACUCA